rnacentral:rRNA from 1 species
GACAGAGGUCCCGAGCGUUAGGCGGAAUCACUGGGCUUAAAGCGUGUGUAGGCGGACUUCUAAGUACCUUGUGAAAUCCCACGGCUUAACCGUGGAACGGCUGGGUAUACUGGUUGUCUUGGGCCACUUUAGGGGCUACUGGAACAAACGGUGGAGCGGUGAAAUGCGUAGAUAUCGUUUGGAACGCCAAUGGUGAAAACAAGUAGCUGGGAGUGUGCCGACGUGAGACACGAAAGCCAGGGGAGCGAAACGGG